rnacentral:pre_miRNA from 1 species
GAGACACUCCUAUGCAGUAGGACUUGCUUCAGUGGGGCUUUGGUGCUCCCUGAGUCUGCUCCUUGAGUGUGUCACU